CUGAGAGACAAACUGGAGGAUUUCUGCAAAGAGGAGCUCAAGAAGAUCUCAGACAGAGUCACACUCACAUUCACCAACAUUGAUCUCUGGACCAGGAACGACUUCCUACAAUAUUCCCGUCAGCUCACUCCGGAUCUGAAACACAGUGAAUAAACUCCUCAGUCUGUCUGAGAACAAACAGAGUGAUAGAUAGAUACACUGGCAGAGAUCAGUCGUAUCCUGAUCAUCCAGAC